GACGAACCGUGCAAACGUUAUUCGGAAUCACUGGGCUUAAAGGGCGCGUAGGCGGGUGGUCAAGUCCGAGGUGAAAUCCUCCAGCUUAACUGGAGAAGUGCCCCGGAUACUGAUUGUCUCGAGGAGGGUAGGGGCAUCUGGAACUAGCGGUGGAGCGGUGAAAUGCGUUGAUAUCGCUAGGAACUCCAAUGGCGAAGGCAAGGUGCUGGACCCUUUCUGACGCUGAGGCGCGAAAGCGUGGGGAGCAAACAGG
rnacentral:rRNA from 1 species